UGUGUGUUUCCAGUUUCUGAGUGUUAUGUGGAAGGGCUGUGCCUUGGCAGGACAGCACCUGCUGCCAGGUGCAGCAGGAGGGCAGGAGCGGAGUCCUGUGGAAGCCCGCAGUAAGGGAAGGUCUUUGGGCCUCCUGCUGCAGUGAGCUGGAGGCUCUGGAAAGGAAGCAGGCCCUGAGGAGGAGGAUUUGGUUAUGGAGCUGCAGAGACUACUGAUAUUAAGACUUGUUCUGCUUCAGAGGCUAGAGACUUGUCAUCUUAGCAGUCCAGAUGGAAGGCUCGUCUUGAAGGAUUCUGAGCACGUCUGAUACAGCUGAAAUAAGGCAUCUACUUUGAUCAAGUGAACACCAUUUGAAAGAUCACACAACAGAUAGGAGAAAAUUAUGCAGAAUAACUGGAAAUAAUUGACAGCUAGGUCUAAGCUAAGGAAGGAGGAGAGCUGCGAGGGAUUUACAUGUUGUAUGCACAUGCACAAUGUUUAAGUGGAAUAACCUCUCAGAAGCUCUGUUUAAACUGAGCACACUUACAAACUGGUCCUUCGUGCCUCCUCUUGUGAGUGGGGAGGAGAGGGUUUGCAAAAUAAAUUAACAAAAUGGUUUUCCUGUG